rnacentral:rRNA from 1 species
AUUGAACGCUGGCGGCAUGCCUUACACAUGCAAGUCGAACGGUAACGGGCCUUAGGGUGCCUCCGAGCGGCGCACGGGUGAGUAAUACACCGGAACGUGCCCGAUCGUGGGGGAAAAUGAGGCGUAAGCUUGGCUAAUACCGCAUACGAUCUACGGAUGACACCUAGGGACCGCAAGGCCUUGCGCGGACGGUGCGGCCGAAGGCAGAUUAGGUAGGUUGUGGGAUUAAAGCUUACCAAGCCGACGAUCUGUAGCUGGUCUGAGAGGAUGAUUAGCCACACUGGGAGUGAGACACGGCCCAGACUCCUACGGGAGGAAGCAGUGGGGAAUUUUGGACGAUGGGGGAAAGGGUGAUCCAGCAAUGCCGCGUGCAGGAUGAAGGACUUCGGGUUGUAAACUGCUUUUGUACGGAACGAAAUGCCUUCUUUUAAUACAGGAGGGUCAUGACGGUACCGUAAGAAUAAGCACCGGCUAACUACGUG